CUGCAAAUUUUCAUCCUAGCAUUUGGGGAGAUUAUUUCCUUGCCUACGCUUUUGUCAUUACGGAACCGGAUGUUAAAACGGAGCGAAGAAUUGAGCAGCUCAUGAAAGCAAAAGUCAGAGAGAUGAUAGUGGCAAGUGCUGAUAAACCUUCAUAGAAGUUGAGCUUGAUUGAUGCAAUUCAACGCCUAGGCGUAGGCUACCAUUUCGAAACAGAGAUUGAGACAACAUUACAACACAUAUAUAUAUGAAAUCUAUCAUGAAAUGGCCAACGAUAAAGAUCUUUACACUGUGGCUCUCUCAUUUCGAGUGCUUAGACAGCAAGGACAUCCUCUCUCCUGUGAUGUAUUCAACAACUUCAAGGACAACGAAGGGAAAUUUAAGGAAUCAUUGAUUGGUGAUGUGAGAGGAUUGUUGAGUUUGUACGAAGCUACACAUCUGAGGGUUCAUCAAGAAGACAUGCUAGAUGAAGCACUGGAAUUUACCACCACUCACCUCAAUUCUGCACUACCAAACUUGAGCAAUAAUCCAAUUGUAGCACAAGUAGUUCAUGCUCUAGAUCAGC